UACCUUUGCAACCGAAUUGGGAACGACCCAAUCUACAUAAUAAUUAUUUAAAUAAAUAUUAGCAUG
rfam:Flavobacterium fontis strain DSM 25660 genome assembly, contig: Ga0131152_107